AUCUAAGCUGCAGACGAACUGUGAUUAAAUCUGGGACUCAUAUAUCCUAACAUAUACAAAAUUAUGAGUCCCAGUUUUAGUCACAGAUUCGUCUACGGCCUUAGAU
rnacentral:pre_miRNA from 1 species